rnacentral:pre_miRNA from 1 species
GUGGGGAGCGCAGGAUCCCGGGCUGUGUCCCCCGCGCCCUGGGCUCCCGGGCCUGCGCUGCUGGGAUCGCGCUCCUGGGGGCGCAGCCCCCU